UCUAACCGAAAGCCUGGCCCAAACGUUUUAGCCUAUCCAUCGCAAAUAUCCCUAAACAUUUGCAAACCUAAUUUCUACUCAAAAUCAGCCGCACACAUCCCUUUCUCAUCUUUUUCCUCUUUCAAGCAAAGCUCCAAUGUUCAUCAGCCAUGACAGAGCAUUGUCCUUCCAUUUCCGGGCACUUUGUAUUCAUUCUCUUCUUAUCUCGAAUUGGAGCGUCGUUCGUUUUAGAGGGUGAGGCAGAGACCUAAAGCCUCAUUUCGCUGCACCUAUAGCAGGUCAGUGGUGUCUUUUUGCUCGUCGAUUUCUUAGUUCUAAGCAUGUUUAUGAUUUUGUACAUAUUGUGGAAGUGUGGUUAAUUUCUUUAUUUUUCAAGGCAUUCAAUAUGUUUGGUGUCGUUUACUUCGGAUCUCUUAGGCUGUGUCUACUGCUUCAUUAGAAAGGUGUAUAUGUGUUAAGAAUCAUGUUUAGAUAUCCUCUGCUAUUCUUAUUUUGUCGAGAUGAUUUUCAAAAAUGCCUGUAUAUUCCAUGUCUAGAAAUCCUAGUUUGAAAUCUUGGUUCAUGAAUAGGAUUAAUUAGCUUAAGGUUUGAAUGUAAUUUUUUUUUACUAUGUUCGAACAGAAUGUUUGGCAAGCUCAGAACAUCAUGUUUUGCAAGCUCUCUUAUUUAUAUACUACUAUGUCCUUCAAUAACUUUCGAGAACUUCAUAACCUUAAAUAAUACUGUAGUAACUAUUUUAAUCCUUAAUCUUUAGCACAUCGGUUAAACUCUGUCAUAAUAUAAUGUUUUAUAUUAGUUCAACUCCAUGACUGGUAUUAGUCUCAUCUAAAAAUCAUGUUUUCGAGAUCUUAAAAAUAUGUUAUGUGGACAAAGCAUACUACAUGUUUGCUGGUAAGAAAACUAAGGUUGCUGGUUUGGCCUUACUUCUUGUGUUGAGAAAGAAUGAUUAUGAUUUCAUGUUUAGGAAUAAUGAUCCUUUAAAAAUAUUCAUAAGUGCUGCUCAUGUUCUGCUUGCUCGAUGUGAUUUUAGGAUUUUGUUCCCAUAAUUAGAUAUCAUGAUUCAAUAUGCAUAAUUUGUUUUCUUCGACAGUUGGUUACGUAAAAUAUGCUUCAACUCAUGAAUCUCGAAUGCCAUAUCUUUAAGAUCUGUUUAGUUCCCCUCAUGGUGUAUUAGAAUAUUUGCUCGAAGUAUCAUUUCUUAAAAAACUAGUAGUAGUAUAUUUUAGGCCUCUAUAUCUUCUUCUAGUUGAUGCUAAGAGUAUAAAGGUGGGAUAUAUUUUUACCGGAAAGUUUUGAUAUGUGAAAUAAACUAAAUAUGCCGAUAAUGUUGAAAUCAUGUGUUAUGCUUUUCACUUUGGGGAAUUUUGCAUUAAGUAAAAACUGAACUUGAGUACUUUGCUAUGAAGUGUAGAUUUAUUGUUACUUAAAAGAAACAUGACUAUGCUUUAACUCAGCUAAAUGUUCUUAAAUAUUUAAUCAUGUGAUUCUUAUCCGAGUUCAUAUAUUUCUUUUGAAUAGCAUCCUUUCUAAUUCCAAGUUUCUGUUAACUCUUCAUUGCAUGUACACGGGUGGAGUACUUUGAGUUUCGAGAAGAGACUCGGCAUCCAUGGAGUCCGCCGCACAUUUCCGUUUACAACUCCUUUACUUCUCUGCAUAUUUUCUCCUACACUAUAUAAACAGUGAAGGGGAUAAAAGAGUCUUCAUUUUGGCUAUCGGAUGAGGCGAUCCGCUUUAGUUAUUUUCAUGAUCACUUAAUUGUUAUUUACCUUAUUUGUUUUAAGAUUUUACCAUAUUCGGUUCAUUAUUUAGGACCAAAACAGUAGCCUAUUAUAUUAAUCAAGUUCUAACUAGAAGACCUUAAAAAUAAGUGUUUUAAUUAGCUCUUAAUUAGUUUUGGUUAGUACCUUAGCUUUAAGAAUAACCAUUAAUGAGUUUUCACUGAUCAGCAAUGUUGAAAUAGUCAUAUAAAUAGCUUUACAAAGGCAUGAAUUCCUUUUGUUAUUUCAAGACUUUGAAACUAAUUCUUAAAUUUUAGAGAUGGGAUAAUUCUUUUUCACCAACUUUGAGUCAAGAAAUAUUUUGUCAAAUAAGUCUUAUCUAUCUUUUGGUUAAACGUUCAAUGUCUAGCUUUCUUCCAGCAAAUGAUGUUUUU